GGCUCAGAACGAACGCUGGCGGCAGGCUUAACACAUGCAAGUCGAACGACAUAGUGGCAGACGGGUGAGUAACGCGUGGGAACGUACCCUUCACUACGGAAUAGCUUCUGGAAACGGAAGGUAAUACCGUAUACGCCCUUCGGGGGAAAGAUUUAUCGGUGAAGGAUCGGCCCGCGUUAGAUUAGUUUGUUGGUGGGGUAAUGGCCUACCAAGACUACGAUCUAUAGCUGGUCUGAGAGGAUGAUCAGCCACACUGGGACUGAGACACGGCCCAGACUCCUACGGGAGGCAGCAGUGGGGAAUCUUGCACAAUGGGCGAAAGCCUGAUGCAGCCAUGCCGCGUGAAUGAUGAUGGCCUUAGGGUUGUAAAAUUCUUUCGCCAGGGAUGAUAAUGACAGUACCUGGUAAAGAAGCCCGGGCUAACUUCGUGCCAGCAGCCGCGGUAAUACGAAGGGGCCUAGCGUUGUUCGGAAUUACUGGGCGUAAAGCGCGCGUAGGCGGGCUAUUAAGCCAGAUGUGAAAGCCCGGGGCUCAACCCCGGAAUUGCAUUUGGAACUGGUAGCCUAGAGACCAGGAGAGGUUAGCGGAAUACCGAGUGUAGAGGUGAAAUUCGUAGAUAUUCGGUGGAACACCAGUGGCGAAGGCGGCUAACUGGACUGGUACUGACGCUGAGGCGCGAAAGUGUGGGGAGCAAACAGGAUUAGAUACCCUGGUAGUCCACACCGUAAACGAUGAAUGCUAGUUGUCUGCGCGCAUGCGUGCAGGUGACGCAGCUAACGCAUUAAGCAUUCCGCCUGGGGAGUACGGCCGCAAUGGUUAAAACUCAAAGAAAUUGACGGGGGCCCGCACAAGCGGUGGAGCAUGUGGUUUAAUUCGAAGCAACGCGCAGAACCUUACCCGCGUUUGACAUGCCCUGUUUGGUUACCAGAGAUGGUUUCCUUCAUUUAGUUGGCAGGUGCACAGGUGCUGCAUGGCUGUCGUCAGCUCGUGUCGUGAGAUGUUGGGUUAAGUCCCGCAACGAGCGCAACCCUUAUCCUUAGUUGCCAGCACGUUUGGGUGGGCACUCUAAGGAAACUGCCGGUGCUAAGCCGGAGGAAGGCGGGGAUGACGUCAAGUCCUCAUGGCCCUUACACGCGGGGCUACACACGUGCUACAAUGGCAGUGACAAUGGGAUAAUCCCAAAAAGCUGUCUCAGUUCAGAUUGUCCUCUGCAACUCGAGGGCAUGAAGUUGGAAUCGCUAGUAAUCGUGGAUCAGCAUGCCACGGUGAAUACGUUCC
rnacentral:rRNA from 1 species